UUUGCUGACGAGUGGCGGACGGGUGAGUAAUGUCUGGGAAACUGCCUGAUGGAGGGGGAUAACUACUGGAAACGGUAGCUAAUACCGCAUAACGUCGCAAGACCAAAGAGGGGGACCUUAGGGCCUCUUGCCAUCGGAUGUGCCCAGAUGGGAUUAGCUAGUAGGUGGGGUAACGGCUCACCUAGGCGACGAUCCCUAGCUGGUCUGAGAGGAUGACCAGCCACACUGGAACUGAGACACGGUCCAGACUCCUACGGGAGGCAGCAGUGGGGAAUAUUGCACAAUGGGCGCAAGCCUGAUGCAGCCAUGCCGCGUGUAUGAAGAAGGCCUUCGGGUUGUAAAGUACUUUCAGCGGGGAGGAAGGGAGUAAAGUUAAUACCUUUGCUCAUUGACGUUACCCGCAGAAGAAGCACCGGCUAACUCCGUGCCAGCAGCCGCGGUAAUACGGAGGGUGCAAGCGUUAAUCGGAAUUACUGGGCGUAAAGCGCACGCAGGCGGUUUGUUAAGUCAGAUGUGAAAUCCCCGGGCUCAACCUGGGAACUGCAUCUGAUACUGGCAAGCUUGAGUCUCGUAGAGGGGGGUAGAAUUCCAGGUGUAGCGGUGAAAUGCGUAGAGAUCUGGAGGAAUACCGGUGGCGAAGGCGGCCCCCUGGACGAAGACUGACGCUCAGGUGCGAAAGCGUGGGGAGCAAACAGGAUUAGAUACCCUGGUAGUCCACGCCGUAAACGAUGUCGACUUGGAGGUUGUGCCCUUGAGGCGUGGCUUCCGGAGCUAACGCGUUAAGUCGACCGCCUGGGGAGUACGGCCGCAAGGUUAAAACUCAAAUGAAUUGACGGGGGCCCGCACAAGCGGUGGAGCAUGUGGUUUAAUUCGAUGCAACGCGAAGAACCUUACCUGGUCUUGACAUCCACGGAAGUUUUCAGAGAUGAGAAUGUGCCUUCGGGAACCGUGAGACAGGUGCUGCAUGGCUGUCGUCAGCUCGUGUUGUGAAAUGUUGGGUUAAGUCCCGCAACGAGCGCAACCCUUAUCCUUUGUUGCCAGCGGUCCGGCCGGGAACUCAAAGGAGACUGCCAGUGAUAAACUGGAGGAAGGUGGGGAUGACGUCAAGUCAUCAUGGCCCUUACGACCAGGGCUACACACGUGCUACAAUGGCGCAUACAAAGAGAAGCGACCUCGCGAGAGCAAGCGGACCUCAUAAAGUGCGUCGUAGUCCGGAUUGGAGUCUGCAACUCGACUCCAUGAAGUCGGAAUCGCUAGUAAUCGUGGAUCAGAAUGCCACGGUGAAUACGUUCCCGGGCCUUGUACACACCGCCCGUCACACCAUGGGAGUGGGUUGCAAAAGAAGUAGGUAGCUUAACCUUCGGGAGGGCGCUUACCACUUUGUGAUUCAUGACUGGGGUGAAGUCGUAACAAGGUAACCGUAGGGGAACCUGCGGUUGGAUCACCUCCUUACCUUAAAGAAGC
rnacentral:rRNA from 1 species